rnacentral:rRNA from 1 species
UACGGGGGGGGGCAAGCGUUGUUCGGAAUUACUGGGCGUAAAGGGCUCGUAGGCGGCCAACUAAGUCACACGUGAAAUCCCCAGGCUUAACCUGGGAACUGCGUGUGAUACUGGAUGGCUUGAAUCCGGGAGAGGGAUGCAGAAUUCCAGGUGUAGCGGUGAAAUGCGUAGAUAUCUGGAGGAAUACCGGUGGCGAAGGCGGCAUCCUGGACCGGCAUUGACGCUGAUGAGCGAAAGCUAGGGGAGCAAACGGG